CGCGCGGUUCUAUUUUGUUGGUUAUGGGACCGCCGUAAUGAUUAAUAGGGACAGUCGGGGGCAUCAGUAUUCAGCUGUCAGAGGUGAAAUUCUUGGAUUUGCUGAAGACUAACUACUGCGAAAGCAUUUGCCAAGGAUGUUUUCAUUAAUCAGGAACGAAAGUUAGGGGAUCGAAGACGAUCAGAUACCGUCGUAGUCUUAACCAUAAACUAUGCCGACUAGGGAUCGGGCGAUGUUACCUUUUGACUCGCUCGGCACCUUACGAGAAAUCAAAGUCUUUGGGUUCCAGGGGGAGUAUGGUCGCAAGGCUGAAACUUAAAGAAAUUGACGGAAGGGCACCACCAGGGGUGGAGCCUGCGGCUUAAUUUGACUCAACACGGGGAAACUCAC
rnacentral:rRNA from 1 species